UGAAAAUAUAAAUUUAACUUGAUAAAAUAUAAUUAAGUAUCUUUUUACAUAUAAUAUACAUCCAUAAAGGAAAAGUCAAUCUUGCUGGCAUACGAAGUUUUUUCGAAGGAACUCUUUUUACGACAGUGCUUCGGACGGCACAAAGAAAGCGUGUCAUGCCUAAAAAUACGCAAAGCACGCAGGUAGAUGUGAAGAGGUCGUAGGGACUGGGAGGGAAUAAAAAAAAGGCAAAGGAAUUGCACAAGAGCAGCGAUUUGGUAUUCAAAUCGCUAGGCAUGUUCCCGCCUCUCUCGUGGCACAGGACCUCCUCCUCCUGUAGCAAUAAUACGAAGGAGGAAUUCAAUCAACUGUUUAAUUCACAUUGAUAUUAAAUUACUCGUUCACUUCCAAAGAGAAACGUCCUCGAGAAACUUCAAUGCGAGAACCAACAGAGGCGUGGAGACUUUAACGACCGCACGUGCAAUGUCUGACUAGCACGGUUACAUAAAGUCAGAAUCAUCGACAAAGGCUUGGUUAUUUCGCGUUUCCGAAUGUUUCACUUUCUCCUGUGGCAUCCGUAUGCUUUGGAAUGAAGCUGUUCCAUAUCGCUGUAUCCAAGAACUAAAAUAUCGAUGUUUCAUCGUUACAAUGUUCACGAUCGCUCAACCGGAUACUAAAUGUUCACCAGGGUAAACUUUCUUAUUUAUUUAGAACUGAAGCAUUUCACAUCGGACAAACUUAUGCAUAUUAAUGUAGCGAAUCUAUUGCACUCGUGGCAAAAUUAUCGCAAAAUGUUUUAACAUUUUCGAAAUCGAAUAGAAUUAAUAACGAUUUCCCACUUAGAUUAACGUCACGCCAAUAAAGAUUUGUAAAUGUAUCCUGUU